rnacentral:misc_RNA from 1 species
GCAAACUUGGUCAUUUAGAGGAAGUAAAAGUCGUAACAAGGUUUCCGUAGGUGAACCUGCGGAAGGAUCAUUAUCGAGUUUUGAAGCGAGGCUCGCUGCUGGCGCGGAAACGCGCAUGUGCACGGCCUUUGCGCUCAAAUCCACUCAACCACUGUGCACCUUACAGAGUCGAAGUCAGGUAGUCCGGUCUGAAAAAGUAGUCAGUGAUGAAAAAGUAAGCUCCGGGCGAAGGCUUUGGCUUUUAUUACAAACGCUUUUGUUGUUUUGUGAAUGUAAUGCUCCUUGUGAGCGAAAACAAAUACAACUUUCAACAACGGAUCUCUUGGCUCUCGCAUCGAUGAAGAACGCAGC